rnacentral:rRNA from 1 species
UACGUAGGGUGCAAGCGUUAUCCGGAAUUAUUGGGCGUAAAGAGCUCGUAGGCGGUUUGUCGCGUCUGCUGUGAAAACCCGAGGCUCAACCUCGGGCCUGCAGUGGGUACGGGCAGACUAGAGUGCGGUAGGGGAGAUUGGAAUUCCUGGUGUAGCGGUGGAAUGCGCAGAUAUCAGGAGGAACACCGAUGGCGAAGGCAGAUCUCUGGGCCGCAACUGACGCUGAGGAGCGAAAGCGUGGGGAGCGAACAGG